rnacentral:rRNA from 1 species
GAACGAACGCUGGCGGCAUGCUUAACACAUGCAAGUCGAACGGGUGUCGGGGUUCGCUCCGGCAUCAGUGGCGCACGGGUGAGUAGCGCGUGGGAAUCUGUCCCGGAGCGGGGGACAACCGCGGGAAACUGCGGCUAAUACCGCAUACGUCCGAUGAGUGAUCAUCGGGGAAAGUUCUCGUCUUGCGAGGGGCGAGUUCGCUCUGGGAGGGGCCCGCGUCGGAUUAGGUUGUUGGCGGGGUAACGGCCCACCAAGCCGGUGAUCCGUAGCUGGUCUGAGAGGAUGAUCAGCCACACUGGGAUUGAGACACGGCCCAGGAUCCUACGGGAGGCA